GACGAACGCUGGCGGCGUGCCUAAUACAUGCAAGUCGAGCGGAUCAUCCCUUCGGGGAUGAUUAGCGGCGGACGGGUGAGUAACACGUAGGCAACCUGCCUGUAAGAUCGGGAUAACUACCGGAAACGGUAGCUAAGACCGAAUAGCUGGUUUCCCCGCAUGGGGAGAUCAUGAAACAUGGCGCAAGCUGUGGCUUUCGGAUGGGCCUGCGGCGCAUUAGCUGGUUGGUGGGGUAACGGCCUACCAAGGCGACGAUGCGUAGCCGACCUGAGGGGGUGAACGGCCACACUGGGACUGAGACACGGCCCAGACUCCUACGGGAGGCAGCAGUAGGGAAUCUUCCGCAAUGGACGCAAGUCUGACGGAGCAACGCCGCGUGAGUGAGGAAGGCCUUCGGGUCGUAAAGCUCUGUUGCCCUAGGCGAACGCCUGGUGGAGUAACUGCCAUCAGGGUGACGGUAUAGGAGAAGAAAGCCCCGGCUAACUACGUGCCAGCCGCCGCCGUAA
rnacentral:rRNA from 1 species